CUUCCUAUCUGCCUCAUGAGGAAGUUUGUUUUGUCCUCUCUUUAUAGGAUUUACAUAGUGCAUUCCUUUAUCUCUGGGAUUCACCUUGAACACUUCCUGUGUGCUGACCUCUGGGGUGGGCGGGGACAGUGUAGGCGAGGAACAGGUGUGGGCAGACAGGAAGUCUGUUUGGGACUUGUGUGAGGAGUCUGGGGACAUCGGAGUACACAUGUCCCAAGGCUAGUGGCUUUGGGGUCAGAGCGGGUCUGGCUGGAGACGGAGGUUUGGCUUACCAGCAUCCGGUGGCAGCUAAAGUGGCUGGGUGGGUAGAGUUACCAAGGGAACUGCUUGUCAUGGGUCCUGGGAGGGGGCGGAGGUCAGGCCCUGGAGGCUACAGCAGAGAGCUGGGCACAGGGCAGGGAUGGGCCACCACUCAGCCAGGGCUCCAGUGGCCAAGAGAAACGGGCCUGGGAUGGGGUCACUGCGUGGUGUUCGUGGCGGGUGUCAAGACCUUUGCUUUGGCAGGCUGGGUGUGGGGGUCUGUGGGAAAGAUGGGCCUUCGGAUGAGGAGGCAGUAAUUACUGCAGAGGUGCUAGGCAUCAAAGAAGGUGGUCAGUCAGCUUGGCAUCCUCUUUUCUUUUUGGCCUCACAGUGAGGUAUGUGGGAUCUUCAAUGUUUCCUGACCAGGGAUUGAACCCAUGCCCUCUACAGUGGAAGUGUGGAGUCUUUACCGCUGGAUCGCCAUGAAAGUUCUAGCUUGGCCUUCUCUCAUUCUCAUGAUUUCGUGCAUAUGGGAGGCUGGUGCUGAGUCAUCUGCUUGGGCUGAAAACUCAGAAGCAUCCACCAGACUUGUGGCUUUCCCUUCUCUACUCAGGUUGCCCCCAGCGGUGCACUGGUAACAACUGGCGGUCCAGAAAAAGGGGGUGAGGUGGGGAUAUAGCGUUUGCCAGUUCCUGUGUUUGUAAAUUCUCCCACCAAGGACAUCACCCUACUAAUGUGAUGUCAUUGAACAUGGAGUUGGGAAGAGAUGCACAGUGGGAUUCCAUCUUUAUAGUAAAAUUCAGUAAAAUAAUAGUAAGUGAUAAGUUUUGAGUAUGUCUUCCCUUUGAUUUGUAAAUAUUUUUCAUAUUUAUUUAUUAUUUUUGGCUGCACUGGGUCUUUGUUGCUGGGCAAGUGCUUUCUCUAGUUAUGGCGAGUAGGGGCUCCUCUUUGUUGUGAUGGCUUCUCUCAUUGCCAAGUACAGGCUCUAGGCACCUGGGUUUCGGUAGUUGCAGCUCCUGGGCCCUAGAGCACAAGCUCAGAAGCUGUGGCACCUGGGCUUAGUUGCCCCGUGGCAUGUGGGAUCUUCCCAGAUCAGGAAUGGAAUCCGUGUCCCCUGCAUUGGCAGGUGGAUUCUUAACCGCUGGACCACCAGGGAAGCCUCCCCCUCUCUGUUUUUAAUAUAGUUUAUUUAAUUGUCAUCUUGGUUCAGGCUGUCUCACCAUCAGCACGGUUAACAUUUGGCCUUGAGGUUCUUUGUUGGGGGCAGGGAGGGGGCUGAGCUUCAUUGCACGCACAGCAUCCCUAACCUCCACCCGCUAGACACCAGUAGCACCCCUCCCCCAAGUCGUGACCAUCCAGAUGUCUCCAGACACAGCCAUAUGUCCCCUGGGGGGAGCAAAUUUAACCCAGUGGACAGUUACAUAAACCCCAGUAGACAGCCAUUGGCAAUGUUUAACAACUAGAUCACAGAAUUCCUACAAGUGUGACAGUUGGCUCUGAAUGAGCCUGUACCAGCCAGUUUCAGCACAUUAUGACCACUGUGUCUGGCUAAAUAUAAGGCCUAGGUUUUUCUCUCCACAAUUCUUUCUCUGGAAAGAGCCGCUACCCUAAGCUGUAGCUGUCAGUCUGGACAGAGGGCUCUCUGACUGCGGAGGGCUCUCAGCCCCUGACUGGUCCCCAGAGUGGUUGAUGAAGCAUUGGAGACCCACCACUGUGCUGAACUGUUCUGAUGUUCUAUGAAAUGUGAGAAUGGUGAGGGAAGUAAUACUUCUGAAUUAAUAUUUAGUUUUAAUAUAAUAUGCUCUUCCCCAAAAGUUUAUAUGUUCAAAUUGGAAAAACAAACAAACAAACAAACAACUCUGUCUCCCCAAAAGCCUCAAGCAAAUAAAAUUUUAGAUAAAGUCUUCCCACAGGGAGAAUCCUGGCUGCUGCAUGUCUGGGGCCGCCCUGCAUGUAAGGUGCUCCUGUUAAGGUUGCACACACCCAUGUCUCAUUCUGGAGGCCAGGCUGUCCACCUCUGAUUCGCCUCUUGGCUCAGGUACUGCUUUUACCCAUCUUCAAGCUCAGCGGUCGGCUUUUGUUUAUUUGUUUAUUCAUUCAUUCAAAAUAUUUACUCAGCACCAAUUAUAUACCAAGGAAGAUGAUGGAGAAAGGGGUUCCUGCUCUCUAGAGUUUGUCAGUAUUUCAGCUCCAUGCCGUCCACUGGGGAGCGGACAUGUGCAGGCUCAUGUGGGUGCUGAGGGGACAUGGACAGAGUGGAGGAGGGGAAGAGAGACGUGUGUGUGUGUGUGUGUGUGUGUGUAGGAUGGCGGUUGUGUGCCUGGAGCCGAGCUGGGCACACCAUACACUGAAUCAUCCUACUCGCCUGCUGUGCUUCUAACAGAGGGUUUUGUUUCUUGGUCGAGGAUCUCUCUCUCUCUCCCCCUGCUCCAGAGUGUAGGUGCUCUGGAGACAGGACACAGGGGCCUGUAUCUCCUGGAGGUAAGAACAGUGUCAGGCUCAGAGAUUGGAGAAACAAAAGGAAUCAAAAAGCAAGGAGGAAAAAAAAAAAAAAGCAAGGAGGAGAGUAGCCAAGAUGGGUGGCAAGAGGGAAGGAGGAAGGGGUCAGGGCAAGGCCACUUUAAGCUGAAGCAGUCAGGGAAGGCUUCUUGGAUGAGGUGGUAUUUGGGAGGAAGGAUGGGAGGGACUGCAGUGGGGGAACCGGUGGAAAGGCUGGUGCAGAGAGAGGGAAUAGCAGGGUGUGUCCCUGGAGAUUUCCGGAACGUGAGGGUCUAAACUAGGAAAAGAAUAUCAUAAACUGCUGUUUUCUAUCCAAGACAGGGAGGGAGACAGCCAACUAAAAAAUCUUCUCUCUCUCCAGUGGAGGUAACAUACCCAUCCUGGCCCACCUAAGGGACAUCUGGGCAAGAACUCUCCACUGGGCUCUGGAGGGAAGGCAGAGUGAUAAUAACAAUAGUCAUCACCGUAGCGACGUCCGCUUCCCUUUAUCAUUCCCUACUAGGUCCCAAGGCUUUGUAUAUGCCUUCACCUGUGGGGUAGACAUCAACCCCAUUUUCCAGACAACUGAAAGCAUGCUUCAGAGAGGAAGCGAAAGUCAAGGUCACGCAGGACCCAGGCGGGGUCUGCUUGCUUCAGCGUCCACACUGUUUCCUCUGCCAGCACCCUUCCCUUCCUGCCUCUCGAGAAGGCUGGACAGCAUUCAAGUGUGGUCUGUGGGCUCUCUGGGAUCCAGCUGUCGGCCUGCUUGGUGAAAUUUUUAUUAGCCUUUGAUUUUUGGACCUCCGGUUUUAUGGGUUACUAGAAAAUGGGCCAGGCUUCUUUAAGAAACUCCCCACCUACCUCCGUGGCCACCUGGUGGCUUUUCUCCUCCCUCCCUCUGCAGCUCCUGAAAGUAUUCACAAAUACAGAUCAUGGCUAGAAAAGUGGACACAUGAAUGUGGGCAGGAGGCUGGAGCAAUAGCUGUGUGCCUCGGAGCCUGUGAGAAGUCUGAAGUCCUGGAGCUCGACUUGGCCAGACCCCCAUCCACUGCCCCUCACCCCUCAGGCCUGUACCCAGAGAACCAGCAGCUUGGGGCUCUGCUGGUCUGCGACUCUGGGCACACCAGUCUCUCUGGGCUUUAGUUUCCUGGCCCAGGUGCAAGAUUCUUCUCUCCCUUGGGCUUCAGUGUCUCCAUCUGGGAAAUAAAGCGGGCUGCACACUCUCCAAAUCUG